rnacentral:rRNA from 1 species
UGUCGAUUAGGAUUCGCUAGCAUGCGAGUAACGUAGCAAUACGUGGCACACGGCUCAGUAACACGUAGUCACAUAACCAAGGACGUGGAUAAACUCGGGAAACUGAGGCUAAACCGCGAUAGACCAAGAUACCUGGAAUGGUUUUUGAUCAAAAUCUAUAUGGCCUUUGGAUUGGACUGCGACCGAUCAGGCUGUUGGUGAGGUAAUGGCCCACCAAACCUGUAACCGGUACGGGCUCUGAGAGGAGGAGCCCGGAGAUGGGUACUGAGAAAAGGACCCAGGCCCUAUGGGGCGCAGCAGGCGCGAAACCUCUGCAAUAGGCGAAAGCCUGACAGGGUUAUUCUGAGUGACUUUCGCUAAGAAAGUCUUUUGACAUCUCUAAAAAUGGUGUAGAAUAAGGGGUGGGCAAGUCUGGUGUCAGCCGCCGCGGUAAUACCAGCACCCCGAGUGGUCGGGACGAUUAUUGGGCCUAAAGCAUCCGUAGCCGGUUUUACAAGUCCUCCGUUAAAUCCAACUGCUUAACAGAUGGGCCGCGGAGGAUACUAUAAGACUAGGAGGCAGGAGAGGCAAGCGGUACUCAGUGGUAGGGGUAAAAUCCGUUGAUCCAUUGAAGACCACCAGCGGCGAAGGCGGCUUGCCAGAUGCGCUCGACGGUGAGGGAUGAAAGCUGGGGGAGCAAACCGGAUUAGAUACCCGGGUAGUCCCAGCUGUAAACGAUGCAAGACUCGGUGGAUGGACUAGCUUAAUGCUAGUCCAGUGCCCCAGGGAAGCCGUUAAGUCCUGCCCCCUGGUAGUUACCGUUCCGCAAGACUGAACCUUAAAG